AUGGACCCUGCGGGCCCGCGCUCGGCCCCGACGGAUCCCGCCGGAUCGGGCGCGCCGCCGCCGCCGACGGCCGAGGAAUUGUCCAGGAGGGCGGCCGGGAGCGGGGGCGGCGGCGCUGCGGAGGCGUGCGGUGCGGCUCCGGCGGCCCAAUUGGGAGAUCCGAGGGUGGGGAUUUUGGAAUCUUCAGAUAAAGCACAGGGAUCUGUACAUCCAUGUAAUAAGAAGGAUAUACCACAAUUUUCUGCUGAAGGCGCCACAAAAUGUGCAUAUGGGGUCCCUUCAUUGCCUCGGACUGGUGCACUUCUGCAGUUAGAACCUGCUUGCCUGACCUUGGGCCGUGCUCCGGAUGCAGUGCUGGCGGGAAGUUUGCAUGAUGCCAAUCCUUUGGCACGUGGCAAAGAGAACAUCCGGACAGACCUUCAACCUAAGCCUGAUGCAAAACGCGGUGAAAAUAGGAUGCGCGAUGCACCCCUUGGGUUGGAUCUUAAUAGAGUGGGUUCUUCUGAUGCAGCAGAGCUAAAUCCGUUCUUUCCUUACAAGAAGCUGGGUCAGUCGAAAGUUAGUGAUCCAUCAGAAUGCGGUAGUACAACUGGUGCUGCAGGAGAAAGUGAGUCACAUAGAAAGUGGAGAGAAAUGAAGCAGAAUGGGUUCCUUUCUUCAACCCAUGGAACUGCAGUGGUACCUAAGCCACGUGGUCGACCGCCCAAGCGGAAAAGGGAUGAUGAGCUCAAGAGAAGCACUUCUACCCAGAAUGAACAGACUAAGUUCACAAAGGUUGCUGCUCCUAGUGGCCUAUUAUCUGGGCUGAAUCCAGGAAUCAUAAAUCAUGUAAGAAAUAGCAAGCAAGUAUACUCCAUAAUAAAGGCAAUGGUACGCUCUGAGGAGCUUGAGAACGCAAGCCAGCCUGGUCUUGCUGGCCAAACAGGUGAAAGAGGUAAAGAAGUUAUAGAGAGAAUUCAGGACCAGAAGUAUGGGGAUAGUUUGAUGAAGUGCCACUUCAUGAUGGAAGGUAAUAAUGCAAUGUUUCAACAUGGUCUGCCUACUGCAUCAAGAUUCCUUGCAGAGGAUGGCGACAAUCUGAAAUUGCAACUCUCAUCAACAGUCACUAUGGCUUCGGACAGGACAUGUAGUACAUUAGAUCAUGAAUCUCAACAUGAUUACAUGACUGUGCUAUCAGUAAAGGCUGCCAGUGUUGCAUCUCAAUGGUUGGAGCUUCUGCAGCAGGACAUAAGAGGGCGGCUUGCUGCUUUGAAGCGCAGUAGGAAGAGAGUGAGGAAUGCUCUUCAAACUGAAUUGCCGCACCUGAUAUCAACCGAAUUCUCAUCUCGUCAAGAGAACGAACCAUCCAUUGCACAUUCUUCUGAAGCUGGGCCCACUGGAAAAACAGCUUCAGAAGAACAUGUUGCACGGUGGAGGUCUCUAUUCCUUCAGAUGGAAAGAACGCUGCAGGAGGAGGGGAGGCACUUGGAAAUUCGGUUGAAGGAAGUGCAAGGAAUGUUGCAGAAUUGUGAUAAAGGCCUAAAACAAGUGACCUGUGAGGCUCCACUGCUUGGCCCAAUGGCUGAAUUAUGGAAACUGAAGAACCCGGAGAUCUCCGAGAGCGAGUGGGCAGUGCAAGCUGCCGCAGCAUCCAUCUACUCGACGUGCAACCUGGUCAUGAAGACCGAGAACGUCUCGUGCUUCUGA
rnacentral:rRNA from 1 species